rnacentral:rRNA from 1 species
AACAUGACUCUCGGCAACGGAUAUCUCGGCUCUCGCAUCGAUGAAGAACGUAGCAAAAUGCGAUACCUGGUGUGAAUUGCAGAAUCCCGUGAACCAUCGAGUUUUUGAACGCAAGUUGCGCCUGAGGCCUUAUGGUUGAGGGCACGUCUGCCUGGGCGUCACGC